UACCAGCACCCCGAGUGGUCGGGACGAUUAUUGGGCCUAAAGCAUCCGUAGCCGGUUUUACAAGUCCUCCGUUAAAUCCAGCUGCUUAACAGAUGGGCUGCGGAGGAUACUAUAAGACUAGGAGGCAGGAGAGGCAAGCGGUACUCAGUGGGUAGGGGUAAAAUCCGUUGAUCCAUUGAAGACCACCAGUGGCGAAGGCGGCUUGCCAGAAUGCGCUCGACGGUGAGGGAUGAAGGCUGGGGGAGCAAACCGG
rnacentral:rRNA from 1 species